rnacentral:rRNA from 1 species
CCUACGGGCGGCAGCAGUGGGGAAUAUUGGGCAAUGGGCGCAAGCCUGACCCAGCAACGCCGCGUGAAGGAAGAAGGCCUUCGGGUUGUAAACUUCUUUUCUCAGGGACGAAGAAAGUGACGGUACCUGAGGAAUAAGCCACGGCUAACUACGUGCCAGCAGCCGCGGUAAUACGUAGGUGGCAAGCGUUAUCCGGAUUUAUUGGGUGUAAAGGGCGUGUAGGCGGGAGCGGAAGUCAGAUGUGAAAACUCAGGGCUCAACCCUGAGCCUGCAUUUGAAACUGGGUUUCUUGUGUGCGGGAGAGGCAAUAGGAAUUCGGGGGGGAGGGGGGAAAUGCGUAGAGAAAAGG